rnacentral:lncRNA from 1 species
UAAACACUUUUGUCUAACAAGUUGGGGCAUUCCCAAACGCUGACUCCACCCCUGUUGUCGGCCGCUGGCUCCCGACUCCAGACAGCUUAUGGCCUUGCUCUGAUGAAACGAAACCUCCUCGUUCAGGAGGACCCAGGGCAGGAGCAAGAGAGCCACUCGCCUCCAUCCGGCAGGGCAGCCGCUCCUCGGCUCAUCCCGCCAGGAUGCAGAUCCCGAGCGCGGGUUCUCACAGCAUCCCGAGAGGCUCCUUGUCCAGCAGGAGAUCUGCAGGGCACUAGUCCCUGCCCCACCCCGCACAGCCAGCCAGCCGGGCGUCGGGACACAGGGGACGCCUGCGCACAAGAACUGAGCUACCACCCGCCUGGCCCCGCCGAGGCGAAGGGUAACAAUACCCCUCAGCAGUAAGACAGGCUGGACAGGCGGCCCCGGUAGGGCUGCGCGCUCCCCGAUGCCUCGGCGCGCUCCCGGUGCUCAUCCGCCGGCACGUGAGCGCGCCCCGCGCGCGCGCGCGCCCAGGCCACUCUAGCUGAUAGGGUCGCCUCACCUGAGCCGGGCUCCGCCCCCCUUCUCCUCGCAGGAGGAGGCGAUGGCCCUCCUCCGCUCGGACGGACCCUGAGGAAGGAGGCGGGAAGGUCCAGACUGGCUUCCCCGGCAGUGACUUCCGCCCGCCCCGCCCCUCGCUCCCGGCUCUUUCAGCCGGUUCGCGCGGUUCUUUGAGAACCCGGCGGAGGCCAACAGUAAACGGAUGUGAGGUAUCCAUGUCACCGCCCCCACAGGCCUCCAAUGGCCAAUCAGAGGGAGGGCGGGGCCACGGUAGGCGUGACGUCCUGAAAAUCUGACCAAUCCGCAAUCCCAGGACCCCGGCUGUGUUUACUACCACAGCAUCCCUGAGCGCUCUGACCAAUCCCAAUUUGCCUUACAGCACGUAAAAUUGUUCUCAAAGGCCUUUGAAGGCGGGACUUAUCACUUAGCAACACCAGGUUUGGCCUGUAGAAAAGCUACUUUAUAUCACGUCCAAUCAGAACUCAGCAUGAAUAAGGAAAGCUAGUGUUUUCCGUCUACUUGAGCCAAUCGCAAUGACUACUUCCAGCCUUGAGUCCCUCCAUUGGCUCGAGCUGACGACUUUCCUACCUUCCUGGGGCAGUGACCCGGAGUGUGAAGGGCAGGGGACUUCCUCUGCCUGCGAGCUGGAGGUUACCUCUAACUUGUAGGUUUGGGAAAAGAUGGAAACGAAACCCCAAGAAGCCGCGUGAGUGGAAUGGAACCCAAAGGCAAACUUCACAAUGAGUAGGAAAUGCCGCCGGUCUAAUGGUGGUUGGGCGGAUCGUCGCCCGCAUCGCGUCUUGGUUGCCCAGACGUCCAGCGUAGCAAUGGGAGGGUCGGAACUCAGAGUCCGAGGUGUGCCCACCACGCCAUCGGCUCCAGAAUCAAGUUUACAGUCGCCACCGCCUUAAAACUUCAGGGCUCAGCCCUCUUAGCAAUGCCACAAGAGUCUGCUGGACCGGGUGGGAAAGAGGAAGGCCCGGCUGCCGCCUUGGCCUCCCGGUAGUUUCCUGCUCGGGGUACACCACCGAGCAGUAAAAUCAAGAUAUGUGUUCUAGUUAGCGUUUCUGUUGCUUUGAUAAAACUGACCAAAGCAGUUUGGAAGAGGAAGUGUUUAUUGGGCUUAUCACCAUCGUUUCGGGAAGACAUGGAAGGAACUCAUAGACUAACCAUAGACUAACGCUGCCUCCUGGCUUGGGCUCAGCUGUCCUUGUGCUCAGUUCACGCCAGCGUGAGGUUGCACAGGCCACAAGGGAUGAGCCCUACUAGAUCAAUUAAUUAGCAAGCAAUCCCUCUUCCCAAGUGACUACGAGGACAGUAUAAAAUUCUUAGUUGGUUCACAAGCUAAUAAGGGUUUCCUAAGGCUUCAUCUAUCCUUAGUUUGCAGCAGUUCCCAACCCCGAUAAACCCAUAUAAAACCACACAAUCCAGUUACUAUAAUUAUAAGCUAUGAGCCUAGACUGGGCUGCUCUAGCACUGUACUAACUUAUUCCCCAGCUUCGAGACCCUUUGCUACUUGCAGUUUCUCCUGGCCAUGUGGUUCUCCUCUUCCUCUUCUUCAGUCCUCUCCCCUUCCCUUCUCUUCCUCUCUACCAGUCCCUACUCUCCAAGACCUCCCACCUCUCCCCUCCCCUGCCCAAUUACAUCCUCUAGCCUUUAUUGACCAGUUAAAAUGGGGAGGAGGACGCCCUCCCCUUUCCCUCAUCCCAGGUUCCUUUUCGGGUUAACCCUUUAGCUCCUGACAUUCUCUCCCUUUUCUACCAUCCACUCCCACUACAAAUGUUUUUUUAAGAGAGCAUACAGAGCCGAAUACAGUAGAAUAAUAAUCAUGCAAAAAUACAACCCGGUGUGGUAGCUCACACAUUAUAUUCCAGUACAGGGAGGCAGAAGCAGAUGGAGCACUAUGAGUUUGAGUUUGAGACCAGCCUGGUCUACACAGUGAGUUCCAGACUAAGCAGAAUUCUAUAGCAGAAUUCUAUAGUAAGACCCUGUUAAAGAAGAAAAAGUGCAUAUGCACAGAAAUAAACCCAAGAGAUGAGACAGAAUGUUAGCAAUGGCUAUAUUAAAGGGAUGUGAGAUUGUGGGUUAGUACAAUUUUAUUACCUAUAUGUUUCUGUGUUUUAUAAUAGUCGACAUCCAAUAUGUGUUACUUUAGUAAUUGUUUUAAUAAAUUAAUUUCAUGAAAACGAGAAUACUUAUAUGUUUAACAAGCUAUAAUAUAAAGCACCGAUUCUUUGUUUUUAUUUUUUAAAUUUUUGUCAUGUUUCAUUUAUUACUGUUAUUGUUGUACACAUAUGUGUGUGUGUGCACAUGUGCAUGCAUGCAUGUGCCUCAGCACAUAGAGAAAAGCUUGCUGCAGUUGUUUCUGUCUCCACUGUGAGGUUUAUGGGUGUUGAGCUCAGUUGCUAAUCUUUCACAGCAAAUUCCUUUUCCCACAGAACCACUUCACUGGCCCCACAUCCUCUUUUUAUUAAAGAAUAUUGCAAGAAUGUUGUGACUUAACAUUAACAAAGUUAAAAACAUCAACUUAGCAAAGUCAUCUUUGUUGUUGUCUGUUGAGUGUGUGGGUACAUUCCUAUAUCCUAUCAGCAGAAGAGUCAAGAGGAGUUCAAGUUCUGAGUUAACCUGGGCUACUUAGUGAGUGUAAGGGUAGCCUUACAGUAAGACCCUAUCAAAGGAAAGUUAUUGUUUUGUUUACUGCUAUUCCAAAGUUAUCAAGAAGUAUGUGAAUAUGAACACAAUCAGGCAAAUAUUAGGAAGCCAACAUUCCCUUGAUCCAUUAGAGGCCAGCCUGAUAUAUGGAGUGCAUUUCAGGACAGCCAGGGGUAAAUAAUAAAUAAAUAAAUAAAUAAGUGCACAUAGUGGUCUGUAGGGUGGGGAGUUGAAGAUGGACUGUCUGCUCUGUACAGCUUGCUGGGAGAUUGGUACUGACGCAUGUGGGACAUCAGAUCUGGGUAUAGUGGCGUAUGGCUCCCAGAGGUACCUAGGAUGGAAAAGAACUGUUUUUAAGUGUUGGUGUGUGAGAAACAGCAGAGAGCUGGGUGGAGUUGCUGAAGCUGAUAGAUGGAA